UCCAAACCCAGUGCCUGCAGCUGAAAAACUUGGGUAGCAGCCGACCUCCCUUUUCACUGGGCAUUUUUUUCAUGCCUAUCGCCAAACCAAUCCCUCAUUUGCUUAUCCCUUUCCACCUACACACCACCAACAGUCGUUUUCUCAACUCAACUUAUAGAUUUUUACAGAGGCAACAAUUCAAUUCAAUUCAAGAAUUUAAGCAGCGCAGAAGAUCAGCAAGACAUUGAGCACAAGAAACAAAGCAAAGAUGACAGGGUUGGCUAGCGCAAAUUUGCCAAAAGAGUCAAUUCUGGUUCAUCUUCUUGCCCUUUCGGUGAUGGGUUUCGUCGUUAUAGCUCACGGGAGAUUGCCAGAGGUUUCGACAGUGCAGAAUGACCACCCAAAUGCGCCCCCUGCAUUCUACAUUCUUGGGGAUUCCUCUGUCGAUUGCUGAGACAACACGCUGGUUUACCCGCUCGUUCACAGCUCUCUCUCCUUGUAUUCCUGCAACGGUUCUUCUGAUGCUAGUCUCAUUCCUCAUCUUCUCGGUGAAAACGGUUGUUUUUGAUAAAACAGGACUCGGACGGUUGGGAAACCCGUAGUAGGCAAUGCUGUGCUCUUCUCCAAUUACUUAAUGGAGGAGUUCUUCACUCGACGAACAUUACAAGCAUCAUGGUUACUGGCGAUAACUUGGCUACAGCGGCAGCCAUUGGGAAGGAGGUUGCCAUUGAUAAGGUGUAUGCUGAGACAGAUCCAGUAGGGAAAGCUGAUAGAAUCAAAGAAUUACAGGUACGAUUAUAUAAUAGUUACAGGGGUGGUGUGAAUGGAUUACAAACUAACUAGCUCCACAAGUAAUAUUAUUCUGGUUUUGAACGCAGAUUGAGGAUUACUAAAUUAUAUUUCAAAUGACUUAUCUAGAGUAAACUAAUCUUAUAGAAAUCUUCAAACUCA